rnacentral:rRNA from 1 species
GACGAACGCUGGCGGCGUGCCUAAUACAUGCAAGUUGAGCGCUGACGGUUGGUACUUGUACCAACUGGAUGAGCAGCGAACGGGUGAGUAACGCGUGGGGAAUCUGCCUUUGAGCGGGGGACAACAUUUGGAAACGAAUGCUGAUACCGCAUAAAAACUUUAAACACAAGUUUUAAGUUUGAAAGAUGCAUUUGCAUCACUCAAAGAUGAUCCCGCGUUGUAUUAGCUAGUUGGUGAGGUAAAGGCCCACCAAGGCGAUGAUACAUAGCCGACCUGAGAGGGUGAUCGGCCACAUUGGGACUGAGACACGGCCCAAACUCCUACGGGAGGCAGCAGUAGGGAAUCUUCGGCAAUGGACGAAAGUCUGACCGAGCAACGCCGCGUGAGUGAAGAAGGUUUUCGGAUCGUAAAACUCUGUUGGUAGAGAAGAACGUUGGUGAGAGUGGAAAGCUCAUCAAGUGACGGUAACUACCCAGAAAGGGACGGCUAACUACGUG